AUGAAUAUUGUCAAGGGUGUUGCUGAUCUUAUUCGAAGGACGUCCGGUGGCCACGAUGGAGAUUCUUGGUCAGGGUCACAAUCACAGAAGUUCUCUGCACCUGGUUUCAGGAUCCGUUUCAGUGAUGUUGGAGAUGAGGCGGUUCUAAAUAUACUUUGGGGUAGAUAUCAAAAAGCUGUUGAUAAGGUGGAAAAGAGGAGGCUGCUCCAUGUUUUUCUCAAGCAGUUCUUGGUAGUAUACAAGAACUGGGAACCGGUAAAUUCUGACCAAAAUUUAGAGGCUGCUUCGACUACCAUCCAACAUGCGGAGUCUGAUGAUGUAGUUAUUGGCUGCUUUUCUGGACAUCCCGCUGAAGUCAUCUUAGUAUUGACUGAAGAGAUCACACAAUUAACUGCUAUGGUUAUUGAAUUAAAUAGCAGUACAGUCCGAUCAGCAGACUUCUGUGGCCAUUCCACAAUCUUAAAUAUAAUUUCUGAAGGGAUUCCACUUCUUGAUGCCCUUCUGAUUGUUACUCGUUCGCUGCAAAAUUGCCGAGUUUUGGGUUACUAUGGUGGCAUUCCGAAGCUUACGGCAUUAAUGAAAGGGGUUGUUGUCCAACUUAAAACAAUAAGCGGGGCUCUUUCGGCUGACGAAAAAUUAUCUAAUUUUAUGGUGGAGAAGACAGGCCUCCUGCAACAAAUACUUGUAUAUGUGGUGUCAAUAAUAAGUACUUUUAUUGAUUUGAAUUCAAACGUAAAUGAGAAACGUCAGAUGUAUAGUAAUACCAUAGGCUUUCUCUCGGGGGGUGGUGCAUCACGGGUUGACUCUUCUAGCACUUCAAAGGAUCCUUCGAGUGAAAUAUUGUUACGCUGGCAUCAGCAAGCAGUUGUGUCUGUGAUGGAAGCUGGUGGACUUAAUUGGUUAGUAGGUAAGUCGUUCUUCUGUAAAACCAUUUGCAACUACACACUUUCACUAAUGGAAAGUAAUCUUGUUGCAGAGCUGCUGCGCGUGAUCCGAAGGUUAAGCAUGAAAGAACAGUGGACAGAUACAUCACUUCUGUAUUUGUCUUUGAGAAUUCUUCAUUCAACAUUAUCACAGAACCCUCGAGGUCAAACUCAUUUUAAAAGUAUUGGAGGACUUGAAGUUCUAUUGGAUGGUCUUGGAAUACCGUCAAAUAAUGGGCUACUAUUGAAAAGUUCUGCUUCUGCUGCUGACAAGAGAUCUGAGAAUCCCUGGAUAAAAAUCUUCCAUCUGCAUGUUCUCUCCUUGGAAGUCCUCAAAGAGGCUGUCUUUGGGAAUAUCAACAGCUUGGAAUUUCUAUGUGAGAUUGGAAGGGUUCAGAAAUUCGCAAAUAGCUUUUGUUCCCCUGCUUUCAUGUUUCACGAGUAUAAACAACACACCAAGGCAUUGUCUGGUCAGCAAGAUUCACAAAUGCCGGCUGUUGACUUUGGAACUGGCUAUACUGUGGAUAGCCACAUUGCAGAGGUUUCUGUUGCUGUUCCUGCCAAUGGUUCUUGCUCUCAAGUUUGGAGUGAUUAUGUUAUUAAGCUGAGCGGAGUACUUUGUUCUUUCCUUCCCUCUUCAGAAGAUGUAAAAUCUCAGGAUGUUGAACUAUCCACUGGUCGAAUUACUGUACCAGUUUCUUCAAAGUAUUGUGAUUCAUCAAUCAGAUGGAUCUUGAUGGUUCUUCAAACAGUGUUCCCCUGCAUUAAGGCCUGUUCAGACCAAAAUGAUUUGACAAUUCACUUAAGGGUCUUUGUCACUGCUCUGCAGCAUAGUCUAUUAAAUGCAUUUAGGAUAGUUCUUGUUGCGUUCCCUGUUUCAAUCAAGGUAUUUCGACAAGAGAAAAUCUGGGAGCUUAUGUUUUCUGAGAACUUUUUCUAUUUUGGACCAGCGCCUGAGGAUCUUUCUGGAGAGUCUUAUACAUGUAUCGAGUCCCUGAGGAAAAAUGGAAUACUUUCUUCUUCUAGUGACAUUAUCAGUCAAGCAAGAAAUUGUGGGAUUGAAGUUCUCCAAAUGGAUGUGAUCUCAUUUCUGGAGUUUGUUGCAACGUCUAAUGACAGUGCAUUCAACUUGGCUGAAAUAUCUGCUCUGGUAGAUGCCCUUGAACAGUCCGCUUGCAAUCCUGAAGUUUCUAGUGCACUUGCCAAGUGUUUGCUUCGUAUAUUGAAGCUCUCGGCUGAGAAAACAAUUGCUUCUUUUAAAGCAGUUAAUUCAUUUCCUCGUGUGCUUAAGGUUGCUUGCAUUCAAUCCCAAGAGUCAAGAAGGUCUAGCAAUAUAAUCCCUUCUGUUGACAGUGAUGUUGGUGACAUGGUUCCAUGUCAUAAGAGAUCUAAUUCGCAUGAGACAACACAGAGAUGGAUCAAAUGCAUGGAAACAACCAUGGAGCUUUACAUGGAAUUUUUCUCAACAGUGGAAGAUGCUAGGAAUUUGGUUUUGCAUAGCUCUGAAUGUAUUGGUCGGUUGUUUGAUUUAUUCUGGGAAGAAGGUCUGAGAAAUAAAGUGCUGAAGCAUAUACUUGAUCUCAUGAAGAUUGUACCAUCAUCUGAAGAAGAUCAAAGAACAAAGUUGCAAUUAUGUUCCAAAUAUGUGGAAACAUUCACUCAAAUAAAGGAACGGGAAAAAAACUUUGCUGAGCUAUCUAUCAAUUUACUAGCCGGAAUGCGAGAUAUGCUCCAGAUUGAUCCUGUGCCCUAUCAGACUUUAUUUCGUGAGGGAGAGUGCUUUUUGCACAUUGUCUCGUUACUAAAUGGUAACCUUGAUGAUGCUUACGGAGACAUCUUAGUAUUGAGUGUCCUUCAAACGCUUACCUGUUUGCUUGCGGGCAAUGACACAUCAAAGGCCACAUUCAGAGGUCUUGCGGGAAAGGGGUACCAGACAUUGCAAAGUCUAUUAUUGGAGUUUUGCCAGUCUCGCUCAAGUGAAGGACUUUUGAACGUGCUGCUUGAUAUGCUUGUUGAUGGAAAGUUUGACAUGAAAGCAAGUCCUAAAAUAAAGAAUGAAGAUGUGAUCAUACUUUAUCUCAGCGUCCUGCAGAAGAGCAGUGACUCGUCGCAGCAUAGCGGGCUUGAUGUGUUUCAGCAAUUAACGAGGGAUUCCAUUUCCAAUCGAGCUUCUUGUGUAAGAGCAGGAAUGCUUGAUUUUCUACUUGAUUGGUUUUCACAAGAAGGUAAUGAUAGUGUCAUCUUGAAAAUUGCCCAAUUAAUUGAAGUUGUUGGUGGGCAUAGCACAUCUGGGAAGGACAUUCGCAAAAUCUUUGCCCUCCUCCGAAGUGAGAAAAUUGGGAAUCAACACCAGUAUUGCUCACUGUUGUUGUUCAGUGUUUUGUCAAUGCUAAAGGAAAAGGGACCUACUGCCUUUUUUGACCUCAAUGGGAAUGAUUCUGGGAUCGUGAUAAAAACGCCUGUUCAGUGGCCUCUCAACAAGGGAUUUUCUUUUUCAUGUUGGUUAAGGCUAGAGAAUUUCCCCAGAAGUGGGACAAUGGGUCUUUUCAGUUUCCUUACAGAAAAUGGAAGAGGGUGCAUGGCGGCACUGUCAAAGGACAAACUUCUGUAUGAGGUGUAUAUUACUUCUGAUGCUAAUUUCUGAAUUUUACAGUCUAUCAAUCUGAAGCGACACUCUGUCCAGCUACAGCUAAAAGUUAUCACAAAGAAAUGGCAUUUUCUAUGUAUAACUCAUAGCAUAGGAAGAGCUUUUUCUGGGGGUAGCUUAUUGAGAUGUUAUGUUGAUGGUGAACUUGUUUCAUCUGAAAGAUGCAGAUAUGCAAAAGUUAACGAGUUGAUGACAAGUUGUCGAGUUGGCACCAAAAUUGACGUACCCCUGUCUGAUGAUGAUUUAUCUCCGGAAUCUAUAAGGGAUUCACAUCCUUUUCUUGGUCAGGUUGGUCCUGUUUAUCUGUUCAAUGAUGCCAUUUCUUCUGAGCAAGUUCAGGGUAUCUAUUCUCUUGGACCAAGCUACAUGUAUUCAUUCCUUGAUAAUGAAGCUUCAUCAUCUAAUGAAACUAAGCUCGGGGUCCUUGAUGUCAAAGAUGGUCUUGCAUCAAAAAUUAUUUUUGGACUUAAUGCUCAGGCAAGUAAUGGCAGGACACUAUUUAAUGUUUCACCAAUGCUGGAUCAUGCAUCAGACAGGAACUCAUUUGAAGCAACCAUGAUGGCUGGCACACAACAAUGCUCCAGACGCUUAUUGCAACAGAUAAUUUACUGUGUAGGAGGGGUUUCAGUUUUUUUCCCUCUUGUUGCCCAGUCUGAAAAAUAUGAAAAUGAAGAAAGUGGGCAAUUUAAAGAUACGUUGCCUAUACCUAUAACAAGGGAUCGGGUUACUGCUGAAGUCAUUGAGUUAAUUGCUGCUGUGCUUGAUGAGAAUGUGGCCAAUCAACAACAGAUGCAUCUCCUUUCUGGGUUCUCAAUACUGGGAUUCUUGUUGCAGUCAGUUCCUCCUCAGCAACUUAAUUUGGAAACACUUUCAGCUCUAAAACAUCUCUUUCAUGUCGUUGCAAACAGUGGCUUGGCAGAGCUGCUUACCAAAGAUGCUAUAUCUAGCAUAUUUCUUAACCCUCUCAUCUGGUUGUAUACGGAUUAUAAGGUGCAGCGAGAAUUAUACAUGUUUGUCAUCCGGCAGUUUGAUGAUGAUCCAAGGAUGCUUAAAAGCCUUUGCGGGUUACCUCGUAUUAUAGAUAUAAUACGCCAAUUCUAUUGGGAUAAUCCAAAAUCUCGAUAUGCUAUUGGAAACAUGCCUCUCAUUCAUCCCAUCACAAAACAAGUUCUUGGAGAGAGACCCAGUAAUGACGAAAUACAUAAAAUUCGUCUUCUUUUGUUGAGCCUUGGUGAAAUGAGCCUUAGGCAGAAAAUUGCCGGAGCAGAUAUUAGAGCUCUUAUAGCUUUCUUUGAGACAAGUCAAGAUAUGACCUGCAUCGAAGAUGUUCUACAUAUGGUUAUUCGAGCACUUUCUCAGAAGCCACUGCUCACAGAUUUCCUUGAACAGGUCAAUUUGAUUGGUGGCUGUCAUAUAUUUGCCAAUCUUCUUCAAAGGGAAUAUGAGCCUAUCAGAUUACUUAGUUUGCAGCUUCUUGGAAGGCUUUUAGUUGAUCUUCCAUCUGAGAAGAAGGGACCAAGAUUUUUCAAUCUUGCAGUCGGAAGGUCCCGAUCUCUUCUAGACGGGCAAAAAAGAAUCUCAAGGCAACCAAUUUUUUCAGCCAUGUCUGAUAGAUUAUUUAGGUUUCCACAAACAGAUAACUUGUGUGCCACUUUGUUUGAUGUUCUUCUUGGUGGUGCUAGCCCUAAACAGGUGUUACAAAAGCACAUCCAGGCUGAGAAGCAGAGAAGCAAAGGACAUAUCUCACAUUUUCUUCUUCCUCAAAUUUUGGUUCUUAUAUUUAGAUUCCUGUCUAGCUGUGACGAUGCACAUUCAAGAAUGAAAAUUAUCACUGAUUUACUUGAUCUUCUUGAUUCAGAUCCUUCUAACGUCGAAGCCUUUAUGGAAUUCGGGUGGAAUGGCUGGUUAACAGCUUGUGUGAAGUUUGGUGUGUUCAAAAACUACAAAGUUACUCCAGAAAAUCAAGAUGACAUUGAGAAAACUGAACAAGAUUUAGUGAGGAAUCUAUUUUGUGUUGUUCUUUGUUACUAUGUUCAUUCUGUGAAAGGUGGGUGGCACCAGUUAGAAGAGACGGUAACUUUCCUGCUAAUGCAGUGUGAACAUGGUGAAGUUUCAUUUCGGUACUUGCUUCGUGACAUAUACAAGGAUCUAAUCAGGAGAUUGGUGGAGUUGUCUUCUGAAGAGAGUAUUAUUAUGUCGCAACCAUGCCGGGACAACACAUUAUACCUUCUAAGACUGAUCGAUGAGAUGCUUAUGUCUGAAAUGGACCAAAACCUUCCGGUAUUCAUUUUAGCUGGAAUUCAUAAAAUCCUAGCAACAUUUGUCAUCUUUUGCUUUUUGGUAGAUUCUUUCUGUCCGCAUGGAUUAUGGUUCCCAGCAAGUAGCUCUGAUUUCUCUCUUGAUUCGUUUGAGUCAGAACGGCAAAAGGACUAUGGUUCUGUGUUGUUUGAAGUUCUGCAAGGAGAAACUGACAGCCAAAUACUGAGUGAGACAAACUGGCAGCUUAAGAGGACUCCUGGAAGUUGCAAGCAGCCUGACAAAAGUGAAGAUGGCAUUAUCAAUGACAAGUGGUGGGAUGUGUAUGACAGUUUGUGGAUUGUUAUUAGUGAGAUGAAUGGUAAGGGACCAAGCAAGUCAUUAUCAAAAUCAUCACCAACUGCAAUUCCAUCUUUUGGUCAGAGAGCACGUGGCUUGGUCGAAUCUCUGAACAUUCCUGCUGCGGAGGUGGCUGCAGUUGUUGUAUCAGGAGGGAUAAGCAGUGCAUUAGGUGGCAAACCAAACAAAAAUGUCGAUAAGGCAAUGCUCUUACGAGGAGAGAGGUGCCCAAGAAUUAUUUUUCGACUUGUGAUCCUAUAUCUCUGUAGAUCUUCUUUAGAAAGAGCAUCGCGCUGUGUCCAACUGGUCAUUCCACUUCUGCCAUUACUCUUAGCAGCCGAUGAUGAGCAGAGCAAAAGCAGAUUGCAGCUGUUCAUCUGGGCAUUGCUUGUUGUUAGGUCGCAGUGUGGAAUGUUAGAUGACGGUGCUCGUUUUCAUGUUAUAUCACACUUGAUUAGAGAAACUGUCAGCUUUGGGAAGUCAAUGCUUGCUAGUAGCAUUAUGGGGAGGGAUGAUUCCUUGGAUUCAAGCAGCAAUGUAAAAGAAACUGGAUCCAUCCACAAUCUGAUUCAGCGAGAUCGAGUACUUGCAGCAGUUGCAGAAGAGUUGAAAUAUAUAAAGUCAUUAGAUACUGAUCGCCAAAGGCAGCUGCAUGAACUCCACUCCAGGAUGGAUGAAAAUGUCACUGCAGAAUCAGAUAACAGGAAAGCUUUUGAAGAUGAGAUAAAUAGUAGCUUAACCUCCAUUCUUGCUUUGGAUGACAGCAGAAGAGCUGCAUUCCAGCUAACUCACGAGGAGGAACAGCAAAAUGUUGCUGAGAAAUGGAUACACAUGUUUCGUGCUUUGAUUGAUGAGAGAGGUCCAUGGUCUGCUAACCCUUUUCCAAAUAGUGCUGUAAGGCAUUGGAAACUUGACAAGAUAGAAGAUACCUGGCGACGGAGACAAAAACUGAGACAGAAUUAUCAUUUUGAUGAAAAAUUGUGCCAACCUUCAUCCUCUGUGUCCAGCGUCGAGGUUACACCUCCUUUUAAUGAAAGUAAAUCCAGUUUUGUUGGCCACAUUCCUGAGCAAAUGAAGCGGUUUUUGCUAAAAGGAGUGUGGAAGAUUACUGAUGAGGGGAGCUCAGAAUCCAAUGAAACUGAUACUGAGCUUAGUGGACAGAAGCCCUCCAGCCACAAGGAUUCCUCAAACAGCCAGUCCUCAGAAAUAGCAAAGGACGCCAGUGAUUGGAUACAGGACAGGAAAGAUUUGUCUUCGUCUUCACAUGAGACGGAAACUAGUGAGGUUCUUACAUCAGUUCCUUGUGUACUUGUGUCCUCCAAAAGAAAAUUAGCUGGACAUUUGGCGGUCAUGAAAAAUGUCUUGCAUUUCUUUGGUGAAUUUUCGGUUGAAGGUACUGGAGGAUCAUCCAUUUUCAGAAACUUCCCUGCUUCAAGCAAUUAUGAUUUGACCAAACCUGAUCAAAAGCAGAAGUUUAUAAAACAACCGAUUUGCUUUGGUUUGGAUGCUGCAAAGGGCACCAUGGUUGAUAAGUUUGAGGCAAUUAGUGAAAAUGUUCUCAAAAGAAAGGAGCUGAAAAAUAUUAAACGGCAUAGGAGAUGGAACAUUGGCAAGAUUAAAUCUGUUUAUUGGACUCGUUAUUUGCUUCGGUACACUGCAAUAGAGAUUUUCUUCAGUGAUUCAGCGGCACCAAUAUUUUUGAAUUUUGCAUCACAGAAGGAUGCAAAAGAUAUUGGAACCUUAAUAGUUACCACCAGGAAUGAAUAUUUGUUUCCUAAAGGAAGUGGUAGGGACAAAAGUGGAGCCAUUUCAUUUGUUGAUAGACGUGUAUCCUUGGAAAUGGCAGAAGCUGCCCGAGAGAGCUGGAGGAGAAGGGAUAUGACAAAUUUUGAAUAUCUAAUGAUCCUUAAUACGUUGGCUGGAAGGUCUUAUAAUGAUUUGACACAAUAUCCUGUUUUUCCUUGGGUCUUGGCUGAUUAUUCCUCGGAGGUUCUUGAUUUCAACAAGUCUUCAACCUUUCGGGAUCUUUCAAAACCAGUUGGAGCACUUGAUUUGAAACGAUUUGAGGUGUUUGAAGAUAGAUAUCGUAGCUUUUCUGAUCCUGAUAUACCUAGUUUCUACUAUGGGUCUCAUUAUUCAAGCAUGGGGAUAGUGCUUUAUUACCUUCUCAGAUUAGAGCCAUUUACUUCUCUCCAUCGCAAUUUGCAGGGUGGUAAAUUUGACCAUGCGGAUCGUCUCUUUCAAAGCAUUGAGUCAACCUAUCAGAACUGCCUUUCUAAUACAAGUGAUGUGAAGGAGUUAAUACCUGAGUUCUUUUAUUUGCCAGAGUUUCUUGUGAAUUCAAACUCCUAUCAUUUAGGAGUGAAACAAGAUGGCGAACCUAUUGGGGAUAUUUGUCUCCCUCCCUGGGCCAAGGGCUCACCUGAAGAAUUUGUUAACAAGAACAGAGAGGCCCUUGAAAGUGAAUAUGUUAGCUCUAAUCUACAUCAUUGGAUAGAUUUGGUAUUUGGUUACAAACAGCGUGGAAAACCUGCUGUAGAGGCAGCAAAUAUAUUUUAUUACUUGACCUAUGAAGGCGCUGUUGAUCUGGAAACUAUGGACGACGAUUUACAAAGAUCAGCAAUUGAAGAUCAAAUUGCAAAUUUUGGACAAACACCAAUUCAGAUUUUCCGUAAAAAGCACCCAAGAAGAGGACCACCCAUUCCAAUUGCUCAUCCUCUGCGCUAUGCACCUAGUUCGAUUAACAUGAGUUCCAUUGUUAGUAGCGCAAGUCAACCAAGGUCGUCUUCAUUGUAUAUACGUACAGUGGACUCAAACAUUGUUGUUGUAAACCAGGGACUCACCUUGUCAGUCAAGAUGUGGUUGACAUCCUCACUGCAAUCUGGUGGAAAUUUUACCUUCUCUGGCUCCCAGGAACCUUCGUUUGGCAUUGGUUCUGAUGUCCUUUCUCCCCGUAGAAUUGGGAGUCCUUCUGCUGAAAAUGUUGAACUUGGACCACAAUGCUUCGCAACAAUGCAAACAACAUCAGAGAAUUUUUUGAUCUCAUGUGGCAAUUGGGAAAAUAGUUUUCAGGUUAUAUCCUUAAAUGAUGGCAGAAUGGUGCAAAGCAUCAGACAGCAUAGGGAUGUGGUCAGUUGUGUUGCAGUAACAUCUGAUGGACGCUUUCUUGCAACUGGAAGUUAUGACACUACAAUCAUGGUCUGGGAAGUUUUUCGAGGUAGAACACAAGAAAAGCGACCUCGUAAUACACAGACAGAACUACCCCGAAAAGAUUAUGUCAUUGUUGAAACCCCUUUUCGUAUUCUAUGUGGACACGAUGAUAUAAUUACAUGCUUAUUUAUCAGCGCGGAACUUGACAUAGUAAUCAGUGGAUCAAAAGAUGGAACGUGUGUUUUUCAUACCCUGCAGAAUGGAAGAUAUGUAAGAUCCUUGAGACAUCCAGCUGGAUGUGCGUUGUCAAAGCUUGCUGCUUCUCGGCAUGGAAGGAUAGUGUUUUACGCUGAUGAUGAUCUCAGUUUGCAUCUUUACUCCAUUAACGGUAAACAUCUUGCUUCUUCUGAAUCCAAUGGCCGCCUCAACUGUAUUGAGCUGAGUGGGUGUGGGGAAUUUUUGGUCUGUGCUGGUGACCAUGGGCAAAUAGUUGUACGCUCCAUGAAUUCACUUGAGGUCAUUAAGAAAUAUAAUGGAGCCGGAAAGAUCAUAACAUCUCUAACUGUGACCCCAGAAGAAUGCUUCUUAGCUGGAACAAAAGACGGAACCCUUCUUGUGUAUUCUAUAGAAAAUCCUCAACAUCGCAAAGGCAGCCUUCCUCGAAGUUCAAAAUCCAAACCUUCUUGAACAGUAUGGAUUGUUUCUUUUCUCUUGAAGUCAUGCAGCUGAAAAGGCAAGCAAUGAUCAACGAUGUUGAUCCCAGCAAGAUGUGCAUCGGUCUUAGCAUAGUGGUGCUAAAGAGAAGUACCGCAUGUCUUAUCACCGUUCAAUACAGGAGUCUAUGAAAAUGAUUUCAGAAUUCGAGACAUGUCUGUCUGACAUCCCAGGGCCCAGGCCUCAAGACUCCUUUCGGUUGGGUUUUGCCUCCUUCACAUUUUACCAAACAAUUUCGGAUACAUGCAGCUCCACCAGAAUUACUUGCACAGCACAUUAUAUUGAUUUAGCCCAUGAAGAGGAUUUGGUGAUGUUAUUCUUUCUGUAACAUUUCACAAUGGUAAAAUACUUCUCUAUCUUCAGGUGAGCGCAUCCAUGUACAUUUUGUUGUCUGUAGGUUAGAUUUAAAGGAGUUGUGUAUUAACCACAGUCAACAGGCUAACUCUGACUUUUCCUUUUCCAAGUAGCGAGUGUUAAUUCUUCAAACUUUGUAUAGAUAGGAUGCACAUAUUUUUCUCUGUAGACACUUAGUUAGUACCUAGUAGACAUAAGCCUCUAAGGAGAUGUACUUCAACUGAGAUUUUGAGUCAGCAUUCAGUAGCAUUUGCCCUCAGGAAAUAGUAUUUUUCUUUAAAUAGCAUUUUCGUUUUUUCUUCUGCCUUUGGAGCUAAUGUACUCGUAAAAGUCGAAUCCAUGUGUUAUGGUGAUAUUUGAUAUGCAGCAAUAGUCGAAUCCAAGUGUUCAUGGUAAUACAUGAUAUGUAGUCGUUGAAUCCAAGUGUUUAUUGUAAUCAUGACUUUUUCAUUAUCAAUAUUAUUAAUUUCAACGCUAUAAUAUGAUGUUUGGCUGUAGAGGCGUCUUCUUUUCCAGCUCCAUAUUAUAUCAUCUAUGUAGAAAA